rnacentral:rRNA from 1 species
UGGGGAAUAUUGGACAAUGGGCGAAAGCCUGAUCCAGCCAUGCCGCGUGUGUGAAGAAGGUCUUCGGAUUGUAAAGCACUUUAAGUUGGGAGGAAGGGCAUUAACCUAAUACGUUAGUGUUUUGACGUUACCGACAGAAUAAGCACCGGCUAACUCUGUGCCAGCAGCCGCGGUAAUACAGAGGGUGCAAGCGUUAAUCGGAAUUACUGGGCGUAAAGCGAGCGUAGGUGGUUUGUUAAGUUGGAUGUGAAAUCCCCGGGCUCAACCUGGGAACUGCAUUCAAAACUGACUGACUAGAGUAUGGUAGAGGGUGGUGGAAUUUCCUGUGUAGCGGUGAAAUGCGUAGAUAUAGGAAGGAACACCAGUGGCGAAGGCGACCACCUGGACUAAUACUGACACUGAGGUGCGAAAGCGUGGGGAGCAAACA